rnacentral:rRNA from 1 species
UAGUAUUAGGGAAUCUUCCACAAUGGACGCAUGUCUGAUGGAGCAACGCCGCGUGAGUGAAGAAGGUUUUCGGAUCGUAAAGCUCUGUUGUUGGUGAAGAAAGAUAGUGAGAGUAACUGCUCAUUAUUUGCCGGUAAUCAACCAGAAAGUCACGGCUAACUACGUGCCAGCAGCCGCGGUAAUACGUAGGUG